rnacentral:lncRNA from 1 species
GAUGCUUUUGAUGAAUUAUACGGCGAAUUUAUUAGCGCUUCUAAAACUAUUAAGGAUUUGAAGAAACAGCUUUCUCUAAAGGAAAAGGAUUUAGAAAAAUUGAGCCUAGAUAAUAUAAAAUUAAAAGAAGAAAAUAAAGUUUUUGGCAAAAGAAGCGCCGACAAACCCGAAGGCUCAAACAAAGGUUGCACGUCUUGUAAAUCCCUCAAACUUGAAGAAAUAGCUUUCUCUAAAGGAAAAGGAUUUGGAAAAAUUGAGCCUGGAUAAUAUAAAAUUAAAAGAAGAAAAUAAAUUUUUUGGCAAAAGAAGCGCCGACAAACCCGAAGGCUGAAACAAAGGUUGCACGUCUUGUAAAUCCCUCAAAGAUCAAGUAGAAAAUCUUAAGGGUACUUUGAACAAAUUCAAUUCCUCUCAUAAAAACCUCAAUAAAGUUCUUGACAAUUUGAAAUCCACUAAACAUGGUAUAGGUUUCGAAAAUAACAUUAAUAUGAAUGAAAAAGUUGAAGAAAAUCCU